UUAGACUAUUUCGAAAAAUAAAAAAUUAGGUACCGUAUUAAAUACACACCUAAGUAACUACAGAUCCGAAUGAAUCAGUCAUGGUUAACGCUAUCAGCAAAGUUAAGAUACGUACCUACAACGCGAAUCACGAGUAGUAUAUACUAUAGAUAAUAGGUAAUAUAUUAUGGCGAAUCUUAUUAGGCAACGUAAGUACAUAUUAUGUAUGUACAAUAUGCAUUUGUAGAAGAUUCAUAAAAAUUAAGUAGGUAAUUUUUUUUUUCAAACCUAACCAGGUACAUCAAAAUUUCCCAUAAACGAGAACCGAACGACUUCCACAUAUCAAUAUUUUUACUCUAAAUCACAAGGUCAAACACGUAAUACGUGCUUUACUCGUAUCUGGACAGAUUAACGGUGACCAAAACUAUCAGCUUUUAGUUAUUAUAAAUAAUGAAGAAGCUGGGUGUUUUUCCAAAGUUGUUCUUAUUUCGUUACUCGAAAGUACUCUUAAGCUCAAGUGCACACAUCAAGUAGUGUUGGUGCUAAUCAUUCUUAAUUUCAAAAUCAUCCAAGUAAAACACUCUCCUGCGUCGUCAUGUUCAUUCGGAUUUUCUUAACUUUUGCCUUGAUUUUUUACGCCGUUACACCGAUUUUGGGCGCCGAAAUCUCGGAUUCAGAUUCAGAUUCAGUUUGCGGAGACGUUUGUAAACAAGGGUUCACAGACGACCAACUUGAUACCAUUUGCAGCCACAAAUGUGGAGAAGGAUCGAAAGCGAACGGUUAUUGCACAUGGGUGGAUGUUGAAGCUGGAUCGCAAUUAUUCGACUGUGAAAUGGUUCUUUGCGAGUGUAAAGAGAAAACGCUUUGCGUUACAGGUACUAAAGAUGGAUUUCAAUUGUAUGAAUACAACGCACGCACAAAGCGAUGCAUUUGAAUACGCGUCGAAAAAACUCAGCAAUUUGUUGUUUUUUUCAAAAUUAAUUCGUAAGGCCACUCUAGUAAUGGUCCAUUAUGAUAGGUAUUUUAAACCGAAUGCUUCGUUCACUCGGCAUUUGGAUACCUCAAAAAGGUAAAGAUACGUAAAAAUAAAUUCUAAGGUUAUUUAUUUUAUGAAAUUAUUAUCUAUUGUGCAUUCAAAUUAACUUCGUACAAAAAUAUCGACUGUUUAGAGGUUGUUUUUAGAAAUUGUCAAACUUCACGAAAUUAUAAUAUUUCCUAACACAA